rnacentral:rRNA from 1 species
UACGUAGGGUGCAGGCGUUUAAUCGGAAUUACUGGGCGUAAAGCGUGCGCAGGCGGUCUUUUAAGUCAGAUGUGAAAUCCCCGGGCUUAACCUGGGAACUGCGUUUGAAACUGAAAGGCUAGAGUGUGGCAGAGGGGGGUGGAAUUCCACGUGUAGCAGUGAAAUGCGUAGAGAUGUGGAGGAACACCGAUGGCGAAGGCAGCCCCCUGGGCUAACACUGACGCUCGAUGCACGAAAGCGUGGGGAGCAAACAGG